AUGCAGUUUUGCCCCACCACUGCACUUCUCUCCCCGUUUCCUCUUUGUGCAGCCACAAAGGGGCCAAGGAGGAAAUGCCAGGGAGCUGGGUUGGGAGUGGGUUUCUAUGCUGCAGAAGGCACCGCUGGGUCAAGGUUUGGCCAAGCCCCAGCAGGAUCAGGGCCUCAGCGUGCUGAAAGAGGGGGACCCAGCAUCCCAUCACACUGCCCUGGGCGUCUUCUCACACGUCCUCCGCUGCUGGAUGACGGAGUCACAGCCCAGCCCCACUCGAGCCACCUCUCCCCUGCUUUAUGCAGGUUGCUUGCACACGUGGGGUUAUCAGGACCUGCAGGAUUGAACACUCAAGGCAGAAGUCAGCCUGCUUCCUUGUUAUUCAUCAUUUCUCCAUCUGACUUCUUCAGCCUGGCCACAGAGCCUUGCUCUGCACCGCCUGGUCUGCACUCGCCUGCCCUGCGCAGCUCAGCCGGGAUGGAGGGGGCUCUCGGCCCCCUCCUGCUCUCCCUCCUUCUGCUCCUCCAAGCUGGAGGUUGUCAAGAAGUAGAAGUGGCGGCUGCUGUUGGGGAGACGGUUCAGCUGCAGCCCAAGACACGGCCGUCGUCCUGGGUGGCAAUCACCUGGAAAGUGAAACUGCGUUCACAGCACUACUGGAUCCUCAGACACGAUCAGAACGGCACCUUGACCAGUCCGUUUCUGCCCUUCAGUGACAGAGUCUCUUUCCACCCUGGGAAUCUCUCGCUGCAGAUUAGCUCGGUCACGGAGAAAGAAAGCGGCCUCUACACCGUGGACCUGACGCUGGGGGAUAGCUCUGCAAUCACCAGUUAUUUUCGGCUUUUUGUGCUUGCCUCAUCACUGUCCUACUGCCAGGCCCAGGGGCACGUCCUGCUGCAGGUGCUGGGGGCACUGAUCACUGGGACACCCCAGUGUCCCGCUGACUCAGUACAGAGAUAUCAGGGCUGUAUGAUCUGGACCCAGAAAGUGAUUGCUCACACACGAGGUCCUGAUCACUCCAUGGCAGAGGGAACUGCUGAGUCUCUCUAA
rnacentral:lncRNA from 1 species